UCGGCCUGGGGAGUACGCCCCCAAGGUGGAUAUUCAAAGGAAUUGCCGGGGGCCCCCACAGGCGGUGGAGCAUGUGGUUAAAUUGGAAGCAACGCGAAGACCUUUACCAGUUCUUGCCUUCUUUUGCCCCUUUUAGAGAUAAAGCUUCCCCUUCGGGGGCAAAGUGCCAGGUGGUCCAUGGUGUUCUUAACUUCGUUUCGGGAGAGUUGGGGUUAAUUCCCGCAAGGAGCCCAACCCUUAUUGUUAGUUCCCACCAUUCAGUUGGGCAUUUUAGCAAGACUGCCGGUGACAACCCGGAGGAAGGUGGGGAUGAGGUCAAAUCAUCAUGCCCCUUAUGACUUGGGUUCCACACGUGUUCCAAUGGGAAGUACAACGAGUUGGGAAGUCGGGAGGUUAAGUUAAUUUCUUAAAGCUUUUUUCAGUUCGGAUGCCAGGUUGCAAUUCGCCUCCAGGAAGCCGGAUUCGUUAGUAAUCGCGGAUCACCACGCCGCGGGGAAUACGUUCCCGGCCCUGUCCCCACC
rnacentral:rRNA from 1 species